CAAGUUUCACAAGGUCAAUGAUUAUUGAACCAUCUGGUUAGGAAGAACUUGUUCACGCUUUUCUUUGUGAAAACCAAAUUUUUUUAUCUGGUAGGUAAAGAUAAAGAUUUUCAGUUUAAUUAUCUUCAAAAUUCUGUGUGUGGGGAAGUGCCUGGCGGUGGUGGUUGGGCACUUGAGCUUGGAGCUGGCCAGGGCAGUGGAUGGGGAAGAGGAGAUUGCUGCUACUGCUGUCGUUUUGUGUAUGCUACAGCUGCAAAAUUCUGUGUAAGUCAAUCCUAGGCGAGUUCUGUAUUGUUAGCCUUUGUGGUGACUGCUACACGAUCCUGAAAGAAACAAGGAGAAUAUAGCUCUUAACUGAAGCAAAUAGGAUUUCGUCAAGGUUGUGCCUCAAUAUCAUGGAUGCGCCUAUGCAUGUCAAUUUUUCUAACGAGAUGAUUUCUGCUCUUGGGCUAGCGGAUAGGGUUGUGCUUG